rnacentral:rRNA from 1 species
UACGAAGGGUGCGAGCGUUAUUCGGAAUUAUUGGGCGUAAAGGGUGUGUAGGCGGCAUUUUAAGUCUGUUGUUUAAUUCUCUGGCCUAACUAGAGACAUGCAGCGGAUACUGGAUUGCUAGAGGGUGGAAGAGAGAAGUGGAAUUCUCGGAGUAGCGGUAAAAUGCGUAGAUCUCGAGAGGAACACCAAUGGCGAAGGCAGCUUCUUGGUCCAUUUCUGACGCUGAGACACGAAAGCGUGGGGAGCAAACAGG